rnacentral:lncRNA from 1 species
ACACAGACUUCCUGUCAGUUCUUGGUCAAGCAAGUUCUCGUCCACCUGAGGACCUUGUCCUUGCCUGUUCUUCCGUCUGCCUGGAAGGCUUUCUUCUGUCUUCUGUGCCUGGCUCCUUCCCCACCUUCCGGCCUCACUUGAGAUGUGAUCUUCUCUGACCAUCUUAGCUGAAGUUGGCCUCCUCUCCCUUAAUCUCCAUUGAGCUAAACAGUUUCUUUCAUCUAGAACUUACUAUAGUAAUUAUGUGUUUACUAGUUCACUGUCUGGAAUCGUUUACCCUAGAGCAGUCUACGAUGUAAAGCCAGGAUGGUCAAACUACAGCGCAAGCUUUGUUUUUGCAAAGCUCUGGAGCUUCCCUCUCUGCUGGUCACUCAUUCUUCUCUCUCCUGCUGCCAUAUGAAAAAGGACCCGUUUCCUUCCCCUUCUGCCAUGAUUGGACCUGGGAGUGCGACAUGGUGGCCUCAGGGGAAAAGGGCUCUCGUCUAGACCUUCUGACUGUCCUCUGGAUCUUCCUGGUGUCCAUGCGGGGCUGCUGCUCUGGGCUGGCCCCAGGGCCUUUGGCCAGUGUCCAUGAGCUGAAGCCGUCCCUACCAGGUUGACAAGAAUUGCAUGCAGGGUUCUGGACAGGAAUAUAAUAAGUAUUAAUCAGGCCGCUCUUUGGCGCACUUCCUUUUUGCCGAAAAUCAUGUGGCACUAGAUCCUGACCAUUUGCAUCCCCCAUUGUUCUAUAGAUAGAAUCUCUGACAUUAGAAUCAUAAGGCUUUGGCUUAAGGAUCACUUAAGAUAUUUUUCAGACCCGGAAUUCCAGCAACCAGUUUGACAACUCCUACAGAGAAACAGGAUCCACAUAAGGAUACAGCUUCUUCAUAUCCCUGUCCCAUGACUUCACCCUGCGUUCUUCAACCAAUCAAUGUGUCAGGCCUCUGAGCCCAGGCCUGCACGUAUACAUCCAGAUGGCAUGAAGUAACUGAGGAAUCACAAAAGAAGUGAAACUGGCCGGUUCCUGCCUUAACUGAUGACAUUACCUUGUGAAAUUCCUUCUCCUGGCUCAUCUGGGCUCAGAAGCUCCUCCACUGAGCACCUUGUGACCCCCCACCCCUGUCCGCCAGAGAGCAACCCCCUUUGACUGUAAUUUUCCACUACCUACCCAAAUCCUGUGAAAUGGCCCCACCCCAUCUCCCUUCACUGACUCUAUUUUCGGACUCCGCCCGCCUGCACCCAGGUGAAAUAAACAGCCUUGUUGCUCACACAAAGCCUGUUUGGUGGUCUCUCCACACGGACGCAUGUGACACAAUGAUCCCCACA